ACCCGACAAAAUACCGGAUGCCCAGCAGUCCUCUGAAGUAAUCACGGAAGUGGGAUUUUUGGAACACUCAAGCUGAUACAAGCAGCCUGGGGAUGGAGGCGUGCUGAGGAUCACGGCGUGAUGGAAUAGGCCCAGGCCAUCACACGGCAUCAAUCAAGAAUCACAGGCAGCCCACGUCUUAAGUACCAUUAUGGACUAGAGACCUGCACUUAAGCUAUGCAAUGAGCUUUCUGCCUGUUCACAGAAUUGCCUUUGCCCAGAAAGGACUAAUGAUUUCUCAGGAUGAAGAAACUGUAGUAAGAUGUGAAAUGCCCAUUUAUGGCUAAUUGAAGAUUAAUGAGGUUUUAGUGCCGUUUACCAAGUAUUAAAUCGCAAACAGGUCAUUUCUAGGCAUAACUACAUGAGGGCUGGGAUUUCACUUCAAUUAUCCAGGGAAGACGUGUGCUUGUGGGCAGCCACAACUUUUCACUGCUCACACAAAUCCCACAGAGUUGCAAAAUGUGACGACUGAGUAUUCUUUUGUUUACUUACUGUGUGUAAAACUACAACUGGUUUUCGAUAUUCUUCUAUUUGGCUUAUGAAAGAAUGUCAAAUGUUACGAAUUAUCAAAAGCAGUCUUCAUCAGCACGUAGAGCUGGAGAAGAAUACGCCCUAGCUGGCCUGCUAGUUCAAGGGCGAUGCAAGACACGUGGAGCAGAGAUGGACCCAACCUGUGGCUGACAGCUAACCUCAGCUGAACCAAGUGUAGAUCAACCCACGCCAGCUGGCUCACAGCUCCUGAG